rnacentral:rRNA from 1 species
UACGUAGGGGGCAAGCGUUGUCCGGAUUUAUUGGGCGUAAAGCGCGUAUAGGCGGCUUUGCAAGUCGGGUGUGAAAGCCCUCAGCUUAACUGAGGAAGUGCGCCCGAAACUGCUUGGCUUGAGUACCGGAGAGGAUGGCGGAAUUCCCCAAGUAGAGGUGAAAUUCGUAGAUAUGGGGAGGAACACCGGUGGCGAAGGCGGCCAUCUGGACGGAUACUGACGCUGAGACGCGAAAGCGUGGGUAGCAAACAGG